GUCAUGGUCUGCUCGUGCCGGCAAUGGGGACA
rnacentral:scRNA from 1 species